AUAUCUGUGGAAGGUACCCACUUUUUGGUUUUCUACCAAUGUGGGUGAAACCCCCUGGUGUUAUAUUCCCCCCUUUGGUGGAAAAUACCCACCAUCAAUGUGUAAUAAUUACACUCAUAAUAAUAAUGUAAUAAUUAAUCUAGUAAUGCCACGCCCACUGCGCAUGCGCAGUUCAGUUCCAAAUUAAUCCAGCUGCAAAUGGCUUCCUUCUCUUUGUCCUCCAUUACUGCCAGUCUAUUUUUUGGCCGUUUAGCUCUUAGUUUUGCCUCUGUAUUCUUUGAAAUCCCCAGAAAAUUAUCUCAUUUUCGAAGCCCGCUUCCAUGUCAGCAGCUAUUUCUGUGACUCUUCCUUCAGGCUGUCCCCUUAGGCUAUGAUUUGUGUCUAGACUGAUUGAACUACCAAUAGCUGUGUUCAAAAUGGAUCGCAUCCAUACAAGACUUGCUUAUUGAUUUUGUUUUGAUGUGGUAAGAAUUUUAUUAGUUGCAUGCUUAAAAAUUCAUCUCCCUUUUGUUUCUCUUCUGCGGCUUCUUUUUUCUCGUUGCCUCCUCCUUUCUCUCUCCUCUGCUUUCUCCGUUGCCACCC